AGUUAAUUAGCUUAUAAAAAGCAUAUAUUUUGAAAAUAUAAAAAAGAUACUUAACAAUCUAUUAACUU
rnacentral:tRNA from 1 species